GAUCUUGUCUUAAUCUCUCAUAUAUUAAUCUUCCCAUUCUCUUCUCAAUAAUCAUCCUAUAAACUACAAAGCCCUCUCUCUCUCUCUCUCUCUCUCUAGAUUAAAGGAAAAACUUCAAACAUCAUUCCUGUAGUUUCAUACUUUCUCACUUUACUAUCAUGUGGUUUGAAGUGUAUCAAUUUGGUACCAUACAGUUUUGGUUUUUUCUUUUUAUUAUUAAUUCCACUAAUUUUUUUUCGUUAAAUCAGUGAUACCGUUAAAACUAAAAAAUACUAAAGUGAAUAUUCGAUAAACCUAGAUAGUAUAUCUGAAGUUUUUUGCAUAUAAUUUAACAAAAUAUUAACGAAUAAGCUGACGAAAAGAUAAAAAUGAAACCAUAGAGUACUAACUUGAUACACUUUAAAUCAUAGAAUGCUGAAGUGAGAAAGUGCAAAACUGCAUAGGUGGUAUUUAAAGUUUACACUAGAUUAAAACUAGAAUACUUAAGGGGAGUUAUUUAAUUUCACUUUGUUUCUCACAAUAAAACAUUCAAAUUGACAAUCGGGUUUAUUAAAUAUGAUCUAAGCUAUUUAGACUCUCUAAAAAUUUAAAUUGUUAGAUAAAAACAUCUUGUCUUGUAUAUUAUAUCUGGAUAAAAAAUUAUGUUU
rnacentral:lncRNA from 1 species